CGUGUGUGUCUUCAAAAUGACAGUUGCUUCACUUUUCUAAGGAGCCAUGUGUCCUAAAAUUAGGGUGGGAUACAUCCUAAAAAAAAAGGAAACCCUAGGUCAAGUGUUCUAAAUUUUGGGCUCUCAUAAUUUUUAACAAUGGCCCAAUGUGCAAAAAUUUGUCUAAAGAGUUUAAACAAUUAAAAUUACAAUACAACUAAAAUUUAA
rnacentral:lncRNA from 1 species